rnacentral:lncRNA from 1 species
UAGGAAUAUGAUAUGCACUUAUAUAGAAUCUAUCAUUCUUGGUAGAUAAGGGUAUUAGUUCUGCGUGAUUUAUGAGAUCGAGUUUAGAAGAUCUUAGGUAGAGAGAAAAUAAUAGAAAGGGUUUCUGAUAUUAAAAAUUCGAGUAGAAUAAAUUUAACAUAUGACAGACGAUAGGGUUUGAUGAGCUAUUUUUUGACCUCCGUCUAGUUGGGACUCAUGAUAGAACGACUGUAUCACACAUUAACUGCAUCUAGAGUGUCAUGCCUCGCGACUGCCAAUUUGGUCGGUUGGGGUAUGCCGAACAGAUACCGAACAGACAGAA